rfam:Fragilariopsis cylindrus CCMP1102 unplaced genomic scaffold FRACYscaffold_33, whole genome shotgun sequence.
ACCCGGUUAGCUCAGUUGGAAGAGCGCUCGACUUUUAAUCGUGUGGUCGUGGGUUCAAUCCCCACAUCGGGUG